CAAAAGAAGAGUUUGAUCCUAGCUCAGAAGGAAUGCUAGUUAUUUACUUAACACAUGCAAGUCAAACGUUAUUUUUGGGGAGCUGGGCAGAAGUAAAAGAGACUCCUAGCUAAAGGUAGCUUGUCUCGCCCAAGAGGUGAGAAUAGUUGAGAACAAACUGGAGAAUGGAUGCGUAACGCAUAGGAAUCUAUCGAACAGUUCAGGCCAAUCCUCAAGAAAGCUAAAAAGCGUUGUUUGAUGAGCCUGCGUAGUAUUAGGCAGUUGGUCAGGUAAAGGCUGACCAAGCCAACGAUGCUUAGCUGGUCUUUACGGAUGAUCAGCCACACUAGGACUGAGACACGACCUAGACUCCCACGGAGGGGCAGUAGUGGGUAAUCUUUGACAAGGGGUGAAGGCCUGAUCCAGCAAUAUCGUGUGAGAAGAAAAGGAAAAUGCCGCUCUUAACAGUCUUUCGUCGAGUGCGCGAUCAUGACAGGACUUGAGGAAGAAGCCCCUGCUAACUUCGUGCCACCAAUCGCGGUAAGAUGGGGGCAAGCGUUCUUCAGAAUGACUGGUCGUAAAGGGCACGUAUGCGGUGAAUCGGUUUGAAAGUAGAUGCCGCCAAAAAUGGGCAGAAUGCUCUCAAAACCAAUUCACUUGAGUGAGACAGUGGAGAGUGGAAUUUCCUGUGUAGGGGUGACAUCCAGAGAUAUAUGAGGAACACCAAAAGGGAAGGCAGCUCUCUGGGUCCCUUACCGAUGAUGAGGUGCGAAAGCAUGGGGAGAAAACAUGAUUAGAUACACUGGUAGUCCAUGCCGUAAACGAUGAAUGUUCUCCCUUGGUCUACGCAUAUCAAGGGCCAACUAAUGCGUGAAACACUCUGCCUAGGGAAUACAGCCGCAAGACAGAAACUCAAAGGAAUUGGUGGGGGCCUGCACGUGUGGUUUAAUUCGAUACAACACGUAAAACCUUACCAGCCCUUGACAUAUGAACAAGAAAACAUGUCCUUAACGGGAUGGUACUGACUUUCAUACAGGGGCUGCAUGGCUGUCGUCAGCUCGUGUCAUGAGAUGUUUGGUCAAGUUCUAUAACGAGUGAAACCCUAAUUUUUUGUUGCUGAGACAUGCGCCUAAGGAGAAAGUCUUUGCAACCGAAGUGAGCCGAGGAGCCUAGUGACGUGCCAACGCUACUAAUCGAGUUCCAACACCUAGUUGUGCUGUCAGUAAGAAGGUAGUCGGCGUCUUUCGAAGCACUUUCUAUUUCUAGAUAGAAAGGGAUUUUCUUGCUUGUUUAGUAAAGUCAAGUUUUUUGCCUUAUCUUGCAGGUGAUAACGAUAUUGAGUUGACGGCAGAGAAAGACUCGACAUUCCUGCCUCUGAAUGUAACAAAAAGGUGCAUGCCUCACUUACGAAGGACUGCUAGUAAUUUACCGGAGGAAGAUGGGGAUGACAUCAAGUCUGUAUGGCCCUUAUGGGUUGGGCCACACACGUGCUACAAUGGAAAUUACAAUGGGAAGCAAGGGUGUAAGGCGGAGUGAAUUCAGGAAAGAUUGCCUCAGUCCGGAUUGUUCUCUACAACUCAGGAACAUGAAGUUGAAUCGCUAGUAAUCGCGGAUCAGCAUGACGUGGAGAAUAUUUACCCGAUCCCUGUACACACCACCCAUCACACCCUGGGAAUUGGUUUCACUCGAAGCAUUGGACCAAUGAUCACCCAUGACUUCCCUGGAACAAUAGUGCCACAAAGGCCUUUGGUGGUCUUAUUGGCAUAUACCAUAGUGGGGUCUUCGACUGGGUGAAGUCGUAACAAGUUAGCUGUAGAAGAACCUGUGGUUUGAUUGAAUCUUUC
rfam:Nicotiana sylvestris Nsyl_contig122323, whole genome shotgun sequence.